UACGUAGGGGGCAAGCGUUGUCCGGAAUCAUUGGGCGUAAAGCGCGUGUAGGCGGUUCGAUAAGUCUGCUGUGAAAGUCCAGGGCUCAACCCUGGGAUGCCGGUGGAUACUGUCGGGCUAGAGUACGGAAGAGGCGAGUGGAAUUCCCGGUGUAGCGGUGAAAUGCGCAGAUAUCAGGAGGAACACCGGUGGCGAAGGCGGAUCUCUGGGCCAUUACUGACGCUGAGGAGCGAAAGCGUGGGGAGCGAACAGG
rnacentral:rRNA from 1 species